rnacentral:rRNA from 1 species
GACAGAGGGUGCGAACGUUGUUCGGAAUUACUGGGCGUAAAGCGCAUGUAGGCGGCAGCGCAAGUCGGGCGUGAAAUCCCACGGCUCAACCGUGGAAGUGCACUCGAAACUGCGGAGCUAGAGUCCUGGAGAGGAAGGUGGAAUGCUUGGUGUAGAGGUGAAAUUCGUAGAUAUCAAGAGGAACACCGGUGGCGAAGGCGGCCUUCUGGACAGUGACUGACGCUGAGAUGCGAAAGCGUGGGGAGCAAACAGG